UUUUCUAAUAAAAUAAUGCCGGUGGCUUUAUUGCAAAGAAAAAACAAGUACACCAAACAAAACUAGAAACACAACCAUUAAAUAAAUGUCUCCUUUUCUAAGAGACUCCACCGACACAAAGCCCUCAAGCCAACAAUGUAAAAGACAAUGAAAUAACAAAUAUCAACAAGAACCCUCAACUCGAAACUGUAAAAGCCGAGCCUCAAGGUGGAUCAAAGAGUCGUCUGUCAACAACAACCACAAGAGUAGUAGCCAACAAUAGAGCUUCCUCCACCCAUAACCUAUCUUCCAGCCGUAAUAUACCUUCCUGAGCCACUGCAUGUGCAAACUGAUUGCCAAAUCUUUCAAGGAAAGCAAAUCGACACUCCAGAAAUGCCCGAGAGAGCCCCUUCGCUUCCCAAAUUAAGGCUCUAAUUUAUGAGAAAUCAUUAGACUCAGUUUGCAACUUUUGAACAACCGCCCGUGCGUCACUUUCCAACACAACAAACCGGAACCUCAGAUUGACAGCAAUUCAUAGCUUGUGAAGAACAACUAAAGCUUUUGCGGAAAGACCGAAAAGACAACUAAAGUAACUUGACUGCAUGCCCCCAUAAUCAUUCCGGAUGCAUCCCUUAUAAUAACUCCUGAGCACACUUUCCGCUAUUGAAGGGAAAAACAAGCAUCAACAUUUACUUUUACAAAUGUUGCUGGAGGAGGAUUCCAUCAGACCAACUUGCUUGGGAAUAAUUGACCCACAUUGGACGCAAGCACAUCAAGCUCAGAGCAAUACCCGUGAACAAAGGUAACCACAUCUCGUACCCCCUGAAUAACUCCUUCAUGAUACAAUGAUUCCUAGCAUACCACAACGCCCAAAGAAUCACUGCAAUUUCUAACCUUUUACGCACAGGGUGACGAUCAAAUAUCCAAGAGAGCCAGUCUUUAAAGCUCAUUCGCACAUCAUUACUGGGGCAUCCAUAGUGAAAAGCCAACCAAACAUUCCUAGCAAAAGCACAGUGGCGCAGGACAUGGCUCACAUCCUCAUUGGCUACAUGACAACGAGGACAGUGGGUAUCAUUCGCAAUUCUCUUAUUGUAAAGACAUAAUUUUGUAGGCACAAACUGAUUAAUGAAUUUCCACAAAGCAAUUUUAAUUUUUGAGGGGCACGAAAGCUCCCAAACCUACUGACAAAGCCGUGUAUCCAUUAGAGAUACACUAGCAGGGCCCAACAGCAUUCGGUCCCCACUGCUGACACUUUAUACACUAAAAUAAAAUAUAAAACAUAACUAAAAUAUAAUAAAAGUACUUGUAUUCAAUCUCAUUUCGUGCGAAAACUAGUUUAAUCUGUUACACUGAAUUAUAGCAGAUCAGUAGCCUUGGAUUCGUCCCUCUGUACAAGAUUAUUUGCAACC
rnacentral:lncRNA from 1 species